rnacentral:piRNA from 1 species
UGGAAAACACUUCUUUUCUGGGC